UUCACUCUAAGGCGNACUGCCGGUAAUAAACCGGAGGAAGGUGGGGAUGACGUCAAAUCAUCAUGCCCCUUAUGACCUGGGCUACACACGUGCUACAAUGGUUGGUACAACGAGUUGCGAGUCGGUGACGGCAAGNUAAUNUCUUAAAGCCAAUCUCAGUUCGGAUUGUAGGCUGCAANUCGCCUACAUGAAGUCGGAAUCGNUAGUAAUCGCGGAUCAGCACGCCGCGGUGAAUACGUUCCCGGGCCUUGUACACACCGCCCGUCACACCACGAGAGUUUGUAACACCCGAAGUCGGUGAGGUAACCUUUUGGAGCCAGCCGCCUAAGGUGGGAUAGAUGAUUGGGGUGAAGUCGUAANGGGGUUNAACCGU
rnacentral:rRNA from 1 species